UACGUAGGAGGCAAGCGUUGUCCGGAAUUACUGGGCGUAAAGCGCGUGUAGGUGGUGGGACAAGUCUGCUGUGGAAGCGCCUGGCUUAACCGGGCGAGGUCGGCGGAAACUGUCCGACUCGAGGACGGUAGAGGGGGGUGGAAUUCCCGGUGUAGUGGUGAAAUGCGUAGAGAUCGGGAGGAACACCUGUGGCGAAGGCGGCCCCCUGGGCCGGCCCUGACACUGAGACGCGAAGGCGUGGGGAGCGAACGGG
rnacentral:rRNA from 1 species